AAAGUCGUAACAAGGUUUCCGUAGGUGAACCUGCGGAAGGAUCAUUAACAAAUCGUAUCGUUGUGUGUGUGUGUGGGGGAGGGGGAUUCUCCCUUUACCCACCCACAUCACAUCAAUAUUAACCCGAACCCGCGCAGCAAUGCCGGGCGAGGUAUAUACGUGUUCUGGGGCCUUUGCGGGUCGCAGGGCACGUCGAUGGAGACGACGACGCGUGUCGCAAGAUGUGCGCCAGUCCGACCCACAUAAACGCUUGUAUAUGUUUGACAGAUAGUAUUGCUCCAAAAAAUGACAACUUUUAACAAUGGAUCUCUUGGCUCUU
rnacentral:misc_RNA from 1 species